rnacentral:rRNA from 1 species
AAAUUGAAGAGUUUGAUCAUGGCUCAGAUUGAACGCUGGCGGCAGGCCUAACACAUGCAAGUCGAACGGUAACAGGAAGCAGCUUGCUGCUUCGCUGACGAGUGGCGGACGGGUGAGUAAUGUCUGGGAAACUGCCUGAUGGAGGGGGAUAACUACUGGAAACGGUGGCUAAUACCGCAUAACGUCGCAAGACCAAAGAGGGGGACCUUCGGGCCUCUUGCCAUCAGAUGUGCCCAGAUGGGAUUAGCUUGUUGGUGAGGUAACGGCUCACCAAGGCGACGAUCCCUAGCUGGUCUGAGAGGAUGACCAGCCACACUGGAACUGAGACACGGUCCAGACUCCUACGGGAGGCAGCAGUGGGGA